UACGGGGGGGGCAAGCGUUGUUCGGAUUUACUGGGCGUAAAGGGCGCGUAGGCGGCAACUCAAGUCAUCUGUGAAAUCUCCGGGCUUAACUCGGAACGGUCAGAUGAUACUGUUUUGCUAGAGUGCAGAAGGGGCAAUCGGAAUUCUUGGUGUAGCGGUGAAAUGCGUAGAUAUCAAGAGGAACACCUGAGGUGAAGACGGGUUGCUGGGCUGACACUGACGCUGAGGCGCGAAAGCCAGGGGAGCAAACGGG
rnacentral:rRNA from 1 species